UACGUAGGUGGCAAGCGUUGUCCGGAUUUACUGGGCGUAAAGCGCUCGCAGGCGGUCCGAUGCGUCGUGCGUGAAAGACCCCGGCUCAACUGGGGAGGGUCGUGCGAUACGGUCGGACUCGAGGCCAGUAGGGGGACGCGGAAUUCCGGGUGUAGUGGUGGAAUGCGUAGAGAUCCGGAGGAACACCAGCGGCGAAGGCGGCGUCCUGGACUGGUACUGACGCUCAGGAGCGAAAGCGUGGGGAGCGAUCCGG
rnacentral:rRNA from 1 species